CAGGAGAUCAAAACACCUCCAAACCAAAAGGAAGCAGCUCAUGGUCUCAAGCCAGCAGAACACAGGGCUUGUUAGCCUUCUAAAGUAUUAAGUCUAAGCCAGGACUCGCUUUAAAUGUGAUCUAACUAAGACUGAUGGAUGGAGAGCGAAGUCGUAGCUUCUUGGGCAGUGAACAAUAAAACAAGCAGUUGAGGAUGCAAAAUAGAAGAUAAAGCAGCCUUUGUGGCUUUUCAAUGCAAUAGUUCUUUUGAGCAGACAUCUUAUUGGCAGGUACUGAAGAUCAAGCCACCACACUGGAAGUGUCAAUUCCAAAGGACUGGCUCCUCAGGAAAAUUGCUGGGAAGAAAAGAGGGAUAAGAGCUUCUCUGAACAGAUCUUCCUUAAAAAAGAAUACUGUGACUCUGGACAUAUAGUCACGCCAUGAAUAAUGAUCUCUUAUUACUAAUUUUCAUGUUAUGGCAUCAUUCUAAUGUCCCAAACCUUCAUUGAUUCUCAGCCUAUAUUUAAAUACAUACACACAUAUAUAUAUAUAUAUAUAUAUAUAUAUAUAUAUAUAUAUUGUCACAUACGUGCGAGUAGGGGGCCACGGACGGACCUAAAUGAUAUCGUAACAUUGUUUGCCAGAAGGGAAUGGCGGGGUACUAACCUUUCUCUCUUUGUUUCCUACAGAAAGAAAGACGCACCGCUGCCAUGAAUCUGCUUGCAUCAAUACCCGCACUAUGCUACUUCCGCCCUUCCUCUGUCUACACCUUAUGACGUCAGCAAUCCCACCAUCCAUCUCGGCUCCUACCCAGCAUACCUCUCUACUUCCUGCCCCUCCUUCAUAAAUAUUCCUCCUCCACCAUCUUUGAACUGUCAACUGUGUAUCACUUGCAUAUAUUGACCUUAAUGACUAUUUUGUCAUAUUUUUCUGCUGUUUACAGUAUACGGGACCGGAAACCCCAAACUGUUAUGCUUUUGUUUAUUUCUUUUACUAUAUAUAUAUAUAUAUAUAUAUAUAUGUCACAGAUGUCUAGGGUUCUUACCU